rnacentral:rRNA from 1 species
AUUGAACGCUGGCGGCAGGCCUAACACAUGCAAGUCGAACGAGUGGCGGACGGGUGAGUAAUGUCUGGGAAACUGCCUGAUGGAGGGGGUUAACUACUGGAAACGGUAGCUAAUACCGCAUACCAUCGGAUGUGCCCAGAUGGGAUUAGCUAGUAGGUGGGGUAAAGGCUCACCUAGGCGACGAUCCCUCGCUGGUCUGAGAGGAGGACCGGCCACACUGGAACUGAGACACGGUCCAGACUCCUAGGUGAGGCAGCGGUGGGGAAUAUUGCACAAUGGGGGCAAGCCUGAGGCAGCCAUGCCGCGUGUAGGAAGAAGGCCUUCGGGUUGUAAAGUACUUUAAGCGGGGAGGCGUUACCCGCAGAAGAAGCACCGGCUAACUCCGUGCCAGCAGCCGCGGUAAUAC